rnacentral:tRNA from 2 species
GCCCCCAUGGCCCAAUUGGCAGAGGCAAUCGACUUAAAAUCGAUGUGUUGUGGGUUCGAGUCCCACUGGGGGUACCA